CACCCCCAGACAUAGAGCACCGAGAGGUGAACUGACGGCCCAACACAGAGAAUCAGGGCAGAGGAGGUCCUCUGCCCGCGCCUCUGGGUCUGGCUGUAAAGGAUCGUGAUACGCCGAAGAGCGGGCAGUGCCGGAGUUUUUAAGAAGUCAGCUGGGAGCUGGCAAGUGGACAAAGGGUGGACGGGCCGCAUUCACUUGGAGCAGCGCAAGUGGAACUCAGCCGAGGAUCUGGAACUGGUGACUGCCUUUUACGGAACUUUUUGGGAUCUCAUAAAAAAGAAAAGGACUGUUUUUUUUUAUUUUAUUCUUUUAUAUAUAGCCACUAUUGCAAGUAAAUUCUUGUAGUAAUAAAAGAUCUUAAAUUUGA